CCUACGGGUGGCAGCAGUGAGGAAUAUUGGUCAAUGGACGGAAGUCUGAACCAGCCAUGCCGCGUGCAGGAUGACGGCUCUAUGAGUUGUAAACUGCUUUUGUACGAGAAUAAUAGUAGUUACGUGUAGGGAUUUGAAUGUAUCGUACGAAUAAGGAUCGGCUAACUCCGUGCCAGCAGCCGCGGUAAUACGGAGGAUCCGAGCGUUAUCCGGAUUUAUUGGGUUUAAAGGGUGCGUAGGCGGUCGGAUAAGUUAGUUGUCAAAUGUCGGGGCUUAACCCUGUAACUGCCUCUGAUACUGGUCGACUAGAGUGCAGAUGCGGCAGGCGGAAUGAGUAGUGUAGCGGUGAAAUGCUUAGAUAUUACUCAGAACACCGAUUGCGCAGGCAGCUUGCUAAUCCGCAUCUGACGCUGAUGCACGAAAGCGUGGGUAGCGAACAGGAUUAGAUACCCGAGUAGUC
rnacentral:rRNA from 1 species